rnacentral:lncRNA from 1 species
CAAAUCAAUUUAGCUACCUCCAAUAGAUUUUUCACAUUAUUUUGUUUUCUUAAUACCAUGAUUUUUUUGUUUUUGCCAUUCCAGAUGUAGCUUAUUUUAGGUCUAUAGGCAUUUGCUAUGCUUUGAACUAUAUUGGUGAUCAGCCAAAUUAAACAGGGGAUUAAACAAAGAAGAAAUAUUUUAACAAAGAAGAAAUCAGCUGUAGCACUGCUACAAGGGGAAGAAACUUAGCUUCUUCUACUACUUUAUCCCCAGUACAUUAUCCCACCAAUUAGUGGUCAUUACUGAUUUUCAUUUUUGGACUUUCACAUAGGUCAUUUUUCUGAUAGCUUGGCAAUAUCUAGAAUGGCAUUUUCUUAUUGUCAUUGAAAACAACAAUCUUAUGUAUUAAUCUUCUCACAGAACACCCCUUCUUUUAGCUGAUAAAUAGUCUAAAGCUAGCUUACUUUGAUAUAUUGCAGCUCUGGCUUUUCAUCUCUGACUGGCUAUUAGUUCCACAGCCCCAACUGUUUUAUUGGUUAUGAUUCCUACAACAGCUUGGAGUUUCAUAAUGCAAAAAUUGGGGUUCGAUAUCCCCAACUUCCAUCUUGUGCCCAAGAAUGUUUCUAAUAUGCAUUCAGGGGCCAUCUCUCAUCUCCCCAUUUUUGAGGUGCUCAAAAUCAUUCCCUUUUAUUUCUUUUUAGAACCUCAAAAACCAACACCCCAGUUGUAAUUUCCCAUCUGUAAAAGAAAGUUAUCAUUUAAGUUAUUCUUAAUAGAUUUGGCACCUAACACAUCCUGCAAUGACAGGCUUAACUUUGUGAACCACAAUACCUAUUAUUCUCUAAUUUAAACACUUAUGUUUAAUCCAGAUAGAAUGCCUCGUAUUGGGAUGAUUUAGACAAGGUAUAUGAUGUGGCACUGAUGGAAGUUGUGGUUCUCCCCCCUCUUUUGUACAAAUCACAGGCAAAAGCAAAAAUAUACAAGGAUUUCCCGACCAAAACAGUCCCAGUCCUCCUGUUUGGAGUAGGAGUUUUCCUUCCAAGGUGAAUAUCGAAAGUGUCUCAGAACUUGUCUAGGCAGGACUUGAAACUACUGAUACAGGCUUGGUCUUACUUCUCAGGAGUGAUUCUUAGCUCAAUUCCUUGGGUCAUUUGGAUUGUCUCAGUUCAUUACCGCCGGUCUCUGCUCAAGAGUCCAUUUGGUAUCACUGGAUUUGGGUGUUACAGUUCAGUCCUCAGGUUUUUUAUCUUAUUGGUGUGAAUUCAACUUCACUCUUUGGUCCAGAUUGCAGCUUCUCUGCCUUAAUUAUCAGUAGUACCUGAAAACAAUUUCUUAAUAACACAGGGAGAAUGAAAACAUCGCAUCAAAAUUUUCCAUCAGUAUUCUUUAAAAUUCUUGGGUUAAACGAAAUUUAACAGUUAACAUAGGAGCCAAUCUCUUUCUGCGCGUUCAAAUUAGUUAAACAAGAAAGGCUAGGUUAGUUUUGAUUUCAACUAAAUUACAUUCAUUACCUUUUUACCCUUUGGUUACUAUUUACUUGUUUAGCUUCACAAACUUCUUUUAUCGGUUUCUUAGAACAAACCCCUUCCUUUUUAACAACAAGAAUAAAAGAAAGAAAGGGAAGAAAAAAGUAAGAGAA